UUCUAUUUUCCACCACUGUGCCCCGCCCCAAAACCGUCGAAAUUUUAUACAUACAGACCAACGAAACGCGGUAUAGGGAUUCCUCUCAGCGUGAACCAACCAGGGUUCUAUGAUUGUACCCUACUCGUACUCGAGCCAAUCGAAACACCUUCCCCCACGCCCCACCAAUGAAGUAAAGAAAAAGUUCGGGUUCGGGCAAUAGAUGGCCGACGAUAGCAUAAAAGAAAAAGGAGGGAAAAGCUAAAAGACGCCAUAUAUGAGAAUUGCAAAGGUAGAUAAAAUGCUCUUUGGGCCAUAUGUUUGAUUUUUAGUUUAAAUUAAACGUACCAGUUUACGAUAUGUGAAUACUGACGAACAAAAACCAAAAUUAAUAAUAAAAAAACAAACAAACAUACAACAACAACAACAAAAUAACGAUGGCAACGUCUUUGCGAACCCUUUCCUUGUUCUUUGACACGGUGGCCAUUUAAAAAUUCAGACAUUCACAUCUGAAGAGAAACGAGACCAUCCUCUCUUUAGAUAUUAUUAAAAUAUUUUGUGUUCUUGAUUGUUUUAAAAGGUAACCGAUGAGUUAAAGACAUGAAAAUGAAACAGUUUUAGUGGGCGUUAUCUUGUGGUUACAGACAGUGAACUCCAGCUGUUUAUUUCUUUAUUGCUUCAAGCUGGGUCUACACUAGCAGUUUGAAACUUUGAUAUUGAGCUCCGUAUCCGAAUUUCACCUUCUGAACAAGUGGAGUUGUGUAGUAGUUGUGUUAUCAAAGGAAUUUUUGAAGGGAAUAUCUUAAACUAGUCGUGAAGUGAACAGCCAGUCAACAACUUGUUGUGCCACGCAGUCGAUUUUUGUGAUGGGCAACUGUUUUAUUCGUUUUCGUCUCCGAUUACAAUUUGAUAAUCCACUGCAGGAAAUGCUGAUCACUAUUAGAUUACCAUCAAGAUCGUAUUACGGUAUUAGUGAAUGUUUGAUGGCCAUUUCCAGAAAGUCCUAAAACCCACGUCUGGUGAGUUGUGCCAGUUUCUUUUUUAUUUAAAUUUUCCUUUAUUCAUUAUUUUCACUAACGUCAUUUAUGAGUGCGUCUAAUUUUCCUGUUACCCUGCCUUUGCACGGGUAUCAGUUCAAAUGUAACCCCUACCCCCUCGAAGUAAAAAAAACAAAAAAGAAGAAAUGAAUCGAUGAUAUGAUCUGGAUCCUUUUAGCUUUUCUUGACAUAUUUAGCGACAGAAUUUGGUGCAUUUUUGUGGCAAAAUCUUCUAAGACAAUUUACUAUUGCUAUUUCGUUUGUUUAGUUGUAGUCCCUUACUUCAUUUCCAUCCCUUUAUGGUUACUUUUUGAUCUCGUUGACAAUAGCACGCCCCUCUACUUGAGGUUAAAAGAAAAUCGUUGGCCUUGAUUUUGUUUUGUUGUGGAUAAUAUGCAGUUGAUUUUCUAAGCUCAAGUUCACAUAAAUUUUGUUUUGCCUGUG